CCUACGGGAGGCAGCAGUGGGGAAUUUUCCGCAAUGGGCGAAAGCCUGACGGAGCAAUACCGCGUGAGGGAGGAAAGCCUUUGGGUUGUAAACCUCUUUAAUCAGGGAAGAAAAUUUGACGGUACCUGAAAAAAAAGCAUCGGCUAACUCCGUGCCAGCAGCCGCGGUAAUACGGAGGAUGCAAGCGUUAUCCGGAAUAAUUGGGCGUAAAGGGUCCGCAGGUGGCCAUUCAAGUCUGCUGUCAAAGACCGUGGCUCAACCACGGGAAGGCAGUGGAAACUGUUUAGCUAGUAGAGUACGGUAGGGGUAGAGGGAAUUCCCAGUGUAGCGGUGAAAUGCGUAGAUAUUGGGAAGAACACCGGUGGCGAAAGCGCUCUACUGGGCCGAAACUGACACUGAGGGACGAAAGCUAGGGGAGCGAAAGGGAUUAGAUACCCCUGUAGUCCUAGCUGUAAACGAUGGAUACUAGGUGUAGCUUGUAUCGACCCGAGCUGUACCGAAGCUAACGCGUUAAGUAUCCCGCCUGGGGAGUACGCACGCAAGUGUGAAACUCAAAGGAAUCGAAUUGACGG
rnacentral:rRNA from 1 species